CACAGAGUAGGGGAGAACCGGGACAAAUUAAACACUUUUUAAUGAAACGUAAUUUACAAAGACAUUGUAAAACACUGAAAGUUAAUAUUUUGUCACUAGCAACCUACAUCUGUCCUCUG